rnacentral:rRNA from 1 species
GACGAACGCUGGCGGCGUGCCUAAUACAUGCCAGUAGAACGCACAGUUUAUACCGUAGCUUGCUACACCAUAAACUGUGAGUUGCGAACGGGUGAGUAACGCGUAGGUAACCUGCCUGGUAGCGGGGGAUAACUAUUGGAAACGAUAGCUAAUACCGCAUAAUAUUGAUUAUUGCAUGAUAAUUGAUUGAAAGAUGCUAUUGCAUCACUACCAGAUGGACCUGCGUUGUAUUAGCUAGUAGGUGAGGUAACGGCUCACCUAGGCGACGAUACAUAGCCGACCUGAGAGGAUGAUCGGCCACACUGGGACUGAGACACGGCCCAGACUCCUACGGGAGGCAGCAGUAGGGAAUCUUCGGCAAUGGACGAAAGUCUGACCGAGCAACGCCGCGUGAGUGAAGAAGGUUUUCGGAUCGUAAAGCUCUGUUGUAAGAGAAGAACGGGUGUGAGAGUGGAAAGUUCACACUGUGACGGUAUCUUACCAGAAAGGGACGGCUAACUACGUG